CUGAGAUCAUCAAGAUUCAUGAUCUCAGUCAUGGAGACGGGGCCCGCUGUGGCAAGGGAAAACAAUGUAAGUAAAAACACCUUUCCUAUGGAUCAGAGCGGUUGGGAACCUAAAUAAACACUAGUGUUAGGAAUACAUGUUUGUAUUUCUGACACUAUAGUGUCCCUUUAACUGCAUAAAACUGUUUUCUUUUAAAAUGUGUUCUUUUAACGCCCUCAUUCAUAAAUAUUAAAAUAUGAAAAUUAUUUACUGUAAUUCAUAUUUUAAUUUUCCCUUUAAUUGGCGGGGAGUUAAAAAAAAAUUCUGAAAUCUUUGGGAGUGUUAUUUUAUUAAAUUUCUAUACAUUAAGUGGUGUGGACAGGCAGGGGCGUUUUAGCCGCGAGGCAAACAAGGCAUUUGCCUUGGGCGGCAUUUUUCAGGGGGCGGC